CGGACGAGAGUGAGACAGCAGUGAAGCCGCCGGCACCUCCGCUGCCGCAGAUGAUGGAAGGGAACGGGAACGGCCAUGAGCACUGCAGCGAUUGCGAGAAUGAGGAGGACAACAGCUACAACCGGGGUGGUUUGAGUCCAGCCAAUGACACUGGAGCCAAAAAGAAGAAAAAGAAACAAAAAAAGAAGAAAGAAAAAGGCAGUGAGACAGAUUCAGCCCAGGAUCAGCCUGUGAAGAUGAACUCUUUGCCAGCAGAGAGGAUCCAGGAAAUACAGAAGGCCAUUGAGCUGUUCUCAGUGGGUCAGGGACCUGCCAAAACCAUGGAGGAGGCUAGCAAGCGAAGCUACCAGUUCUGGGAUACGCAGCCCGUCCCCAAACUGGGCGAAGUGGUGAACACCCAUGGCCCCGUGGAGCCUGACAAGGACAAUAUCCGCCAGGAGCCCUACACCCUGCCCCAGGGCUUCACCUGGGAUGCUUUGGACCUGGGCGAUCGUGGUGUGCUAAAAGAACUGUACACCCUCCUGAAUGAGAACUAUGUGGAAGAUGAUGACAACAUGUUCCGAUUUGAUUAUUCCCCAGAGUUUCUUUUGUGAGAGAAGAAGAUGGUAGAGAUCAACUUCCUGUGUGUCCACAAGAAGCUGCGUUCCAAGAGGGUGGCUCCAGUUC
rnacentral:sRNA from 1 species